rnacentral:lncRNA from 1 species
AGACUGCUGGGCUUCCAGAGCAGGAGCCCCUACCCCGCGUCCCUCCACAGGCGAUGUCUGUCUAACCGCGCGCGCGCCGGCGGGCAGGAAAGCCAGUCUGUCUCUGUCCUAUUACUGGGCCUCCCUGAUGCUGCUCUCAAACCUCUGCCUGGGAAGACAGGGCCUCAUGUGUGGCAUGCCAGGAGAGGGGUCAAAUCAGAGCUGCAGCUGCCGGCCUACACCACAGCCACAGCAACACAGGAUCUGAGCCAUGUCUGCGACCUACACCACAGCUCACGGCGACGCCGGAUCCUUAACCCACUGAACGAGGCCAGGGAUGAACCUGCAUCCUCAUGGAUGCUAGUUGGAUUCAUUACUGCUGAGCCACAAGGGCAACUCCGUAGAAUGUAGUUUCUAAGGGGAGUCUUUUCCCUUCCAGGAAAGCUACCACAAUAGGAUUUUCUGUAAUACUGGCCUAUUCCUUGGCUGUCUGUCACCAUGUGUGGUGCUGUCGGCAAAGAUGGCCAUGCACAGGCCACCCCUAUUGGCAUAUGCUACUCCUCUCAUCAGAAGGUGCAGUCUAUUUCCCUCCCCUUGAAUCAAGGAACUUGAGUGUGGCUUGGACCAAUAGAAGGAGACAGAGGGGGUGCUGUUCCAGUCUGGGCUGAGGCCCUUUGCUCUCUUGCCACCUUGAGCCACCACCUAAAGUCCAGGCUGUCAUGUUGGGCAGAAAGCCAGCCACCAACCUCUAGGCCCCAAGCCUGUGAGAGAAGCCCUAGUCCCAGCAGCCUAGCUGACAUCACAUGGAAUAGUCCUGAGACAGCACUAAUGAAUUCUGCCCAAAGUCCUGGCCCACAGAAUUGGGAGCAAGAAAAUGCUUUUGUGGGUUAAGCCUCUAAAUUUUAGGCUGAUUUGUUACACAGCAAUAGAUAGCUGACACAUUAUACCCAGUGGAUCCCAAUUUCUUCAUUUGCAAAAUGAUGGAUCUGUCUUCCAUCUUUGCAGCCAAACCAACACUGCCAUAAGUCAGGUCAGCGCCUCCCACCAUAAAUAAGUCUUUUGAUAUCUGGGCCCCAAACAAGGGUUUGAAAUCAGGAAAAUUACUCCUGAAUCUUUAAGCCUACAGCACUAAUGCAACAGAAAUUCAUCAAGGAAAACAAAAGAACACACCGUUUCAAAGCACUGAUUUUGGAGUGGGGCCUCCAGGCUUUGAAUUCCAGUUCUGCCACUUCCUGCCAUCUGAUCUUGAAUAAGUUUCUUUCUCCAAGUGUCAGUCUCCUCAUCUGUGAAAUGGGGAUAAUGAUAGUGCCUACUUAUAGGAUUAAUGUGAGACGUAAAUUAAAUAGUGUCCAUACCUUAUUUAGCAUGGUGCUCAGAUAUCAAAAAUAUUCAAUAAAUGGUAGCUAUUCUCUUUAUUGGC